GACGAACGCUGGCGGCGUGCUUAACACAUGCAAGUCGAACGGAAAGGCCCUGCUUUUGUGGGGUGCUCGAGUGGCGAACGGGUGAGUAACACGUGAGUAACCUGCCCUUGACUUUGGGAUAACUUCAGGAAACUGGGGCUAAUACCGGAUAGGAGCUCCUGCUGCAUGGUGGGGGGUGGAAAGUUUCGGCGGUUGGGGAUGGACUCGCGGCUUAUCAGCUUGUUGGUGGGGUAGUGGCUUACCAAGGCUUUGACGGGUAGCCGGCCUGAGAGGGUGACCGGCCACCUUGGGACUGAGAUACGGCCCAGGCUCCUAUGGGAGGCAGCAGUGGGGAAUAUUGCACAAUGGGCGGAAGCCUGAUGCAGCAACGCCGCGUGCGGGAUGCCGGCCUUCGGGUUGUAAACCGCUUUCGCCUGUGACGAAGCGUGAGUGACGGUAAUGGGUAAAGAAGCACCGGCUAACUACGUG
rnacentral:rRNA from 1 species